AUUGAACGCUGGCGGCAGGCCUAACACAUGCAAGUCGAACGAGUGGCGGACGGGUGAGUAAUGUCUGGGAAACUGCCCGAUGGAGGGGGAUAACUACUGGAAACGGUAGCUAAUACCGCAUACCAUCGGAUGUGCCCAGAUGGGAUUAGCUAGUAGGUGGGGUAAAGGCUCACCUAGGCGACGAUCCCUAGCUGGUCUGAGAGGAUGACCGGCCACACUGGACCUGAGACACGGUCCAGACUCCUAAGGGGGCAGGCAGUGGGAAAUAUUGCACAAUGGGCGCAAUCCGAAUGCACCCAGGCCGCGUGUAGUAAGAAGGCCUUCGGUUUUUAAAGUACUUUCAGCGGGGAGGCGUUACCCGCAGAAGAAGCACCGGCUAACUCCGUGCCAGCAGCCGCGGUAAUAC
rnacentral:rRNA from 1 species